UCGAGAAUCUUCCGCAAUGGGCGAAAGCCUGACGGAGCGACGCCGCGUGCGGGAUGAAGGCCUUCGGGUUGUAAACCGCUGUCAGUGGGGAGGAAAUGCACGGGGGUUCUCCCUCGUGUUUGACCGAUCCGCAGAGGAAGCACAGGCUAAGUUCGUGCCAGCAGCCGCGGUAACACGAACUGUGCAAACGUUAUUCGGAAUUACUGGGCUUAAAGAGUUCGUAGGCGGCUUGUUAAGUCGGGUGUGAAAUCCCUCGUCUCAACCGAGGAAUUGCACUCGAAACUGGCGAGCUUGAGUGAGAUAGAGGUGAGCGGAACUGAUGGUGGAGCGGUGAAAUGCGUUGAUAUCAUCAGGAACACCGGUUGCGAAGGCGGCUCACUGGGUCUUUACUGACGCUGAGGAACGAAAGCUAGGGGAGCGAACG
rnacentral:rRNA from 1 species